CAGCAGCCGCGGUAAUACCGAGGGUGCGAGCGUUAAUCGGAUUUACUGGGCGUAAAGCGUGCGUAGGCGGCUAAUUGAGUCGGAUGUGAAAUCCCCGAGCUUAACUUGGGAAUUGCAUUCGAUACUGGUUAGCUAGAGUGUGGGAGAGGAUGGUAGAAUUCCAGGUGUAGCGGUGAAAUGCGUAGAGAUCUGGAGGAAUACCGAUGGCGAAGGCAGCCAUCUGGCCUAAUACUGACGCUGAGGUACGAAAGCAUGGGGAGCAAACAGGAUUAGAUACCCGUGUAGUCCCUGUCUCUUAUAC
rnacentral:rRNA from 1 species